AUUGAACGCUGGCGGCAUGCCUUACACAUGCAAGUCGAACGGCAGCACGGGAGCAAUCCUGGUGGCGAGUGGCGAACGGGUGAGUAAUAUAUCGGAACGUGCCCAGUCGUGGGGAUAACGUAGCGAAAGCUACGCUAAUACCGCAUACGAUCUAUGGAUGAAAGCGGGGGAUCGCAAGACCUCGCGCGAUUGGAGCGGCCGAUAUCAGAUUAGGUAGUUGGUGAGGUAAAGGCUCACCAAAGCCGACGAUCUGUAGCUGGUCUGAGAGGACGACCAGCCACACUGGGACUGAGACACGGCCCAGACUCCUACGGGAGGCAGCAGUGGGGAAUUUUGGACAAUGGGCGCAAGCCUGAUCCAGCAAUGCCGCGUGCAGGAUGAAGGCCUC
rnacentral:rRNA from 1 species